AUCAGAAUGACUUUAGAGAAUAGUGUUAGUAAUUUUCAUAAAGAGGAAAAUAUUCUGCCUUAGGAGUCAAAGGAAAUAAUGCAAAUAAAGUAUGCCCCAAUCAAGUAGGGGAAAACCAUAUAGAUCGAGGAUUUGUUCCUCUAAGAACUCAUCGAAGGUCAAUGGCAGAAAAAAAAUACACAAAAUUAUUAUUUAGAAAAAUACAAUACCCCCAGAACACCAAAGGGGGAGGUGAAGGGCUGGACUACUGUUACAUAUAAA